rnacentral:ncRNA from 18 species
UUGCAUAGAAAUGUGUGAGGUGUCAGUCAAAAGUAAUUUUGACUGGUGAAAAGGGAAACAGGUGAGAAUCCUGUACGAACUCGUCACCGUAUUUUGCGAGCUUAUGCGAUAUUCCACUGGGGAACCGGGAAGGAGAAAAGAAGCGAUUGAGCAAUGAGCCGGGAGACCUGCCUUUCACAGUACAGGAAUA